CAAGUUUUUCUUUGAUUUUACUUAUUUUCCCCUACUUUUCUUCUCUUUUUUGGCUUUAUUUUGGACACAUGUUUUUCAACAUCUUGUUGUAACGGCGUGUUGUUCGCUGAGCCGGCAGCCCUUGCCGAUGUAGGACUCCAUCGAAUCGAUCCGGAUAAAGGAUGGAUGUUGUGCAGUAGAGAUCUCGAAAUCGACUUUUGAUUAUGCAUACGAAAAAAUCGGCUAUUAGAUUUCCAAAUAAUCGAUUUAGAUAUUUUAAUGUCGAUAUUUUGGAAGACGUUUUAUUAUAUGGAGUUUGAC
rnacentral:sRNA from 1 species